AUGCUGCGCGCGGCGGCGGCUGCCGCCGCUGCCUUCCCGGCGCGGUUCGCCGCCGUGCCAGCCGUGGCGGCGGCGGAGGAGAUGCGGUCGCCGCUGCUCAGGGUCUUCGGGUCGCUGAGGGGCGGCCGGAGCUCGGUGAUGGGGAGGCGGGCGCGCUUCUGCUCCAGCUCCUCCGGGAGUGACUCCGAGGCCGCGGCGGCGGCCGCAGCGGAGGCGAAGGCCGAGGAUGCGGUUGCCGCCGAGGGUGAGGCUGAAGGCAAGGCGUCCUCCGCCAUCGUCUCCACCAACCCCCGUCCCGAGGACUUCCUCUCGGUGCGCUCUCUCUCAUUUCAGAUAAUAAUCGCUCUGUUUUAG
rnacentral:rRNA from 1 species